rfam:Micromonospora siamensis strain DSM 45097 genome assembly, chromosome: I
ACGCGCUGGCGGGGCUCGGUGAAAUUCCGAACCGGCGGUGAUCCACGGUCCGACCGUGGUAAGCCCGCGACCCGGACGGCUUCGGCCGUGCGGUGGACCUGGUGAGAAUCCGGGGCCGACGGUUGGCGACGGCACGUUCGCGUCGCCAGAAAGUCCGGAUGGGAGACAGCGCGC